UUAAAAUAUAGGUUUGCACUGUUGAUAUACAACGUUUGACCGUUCGUUUCAUUUGAAUUUUUUUUUAUGAUUAGUAUUUUUGUUGUUAUUAGAUGAUAAAACAUAAAUAUUACCUUAUGUCUGACUAAUUUUUUUCAUAUAUUUUUCAAAUAAGAUGGACGAUCAAACAUUAGACUGAAUAUCCACGGCUGCACUUAUU
rfam:Oryza meridionalis cultivar OR44 (W2112) chromosome 10, whole genome shotgun sequence.